rnacentral:rRNA from 1 species
UUGAACGCUGGCGGUAUGCUUAACACAUGCAAGUCGAACGGAAACGAUACUAGCUUGCUAGUAGGCGUCGAGUGGCGGACGGGUGAGUAACGCGUAGGAAUCUGCCUGAUAGUGGGGGAUAGCCCGAAGAAAUUCGGAUUAAUACCGCAUAAUCUAUUCGUAGUAAAGUGGGGGACUUUCGAGCCUCACGCUAUCAGAUGAGCCUGCGUAAGAUUAGCUUGUUGGUAGGGUAAAAGCCUACCAAGGCAACGAUCUUUAGCUGGUCUGAGAGGAUGAUCAGCCACAUCGGGACUGAGACACGGCCCGAACUCCUACGGGAGGCAGCAGUGGGGAAUAUUGGACAAUGGGGGCAACCCUGAUCCAGCAAUACCGCGUGUGUGAAGAAGGCCUGAGGGUUGUAAAGCACUUUCAAUUGUGAAGAAAAGUUAACGGUUAAUAACCGUUAGCCUUGACGUUAACUUUAGAAGAAGCACCGGCUAACUCCGUGCCAGCAGCCGCGGUAAUACGGAGGGUGCAAGCGUUAAUCGGAAUUACUGGGCGUAAAGCGUGCGUAGGCGGUUUAUUAAGUCAGAUGUGAAAGCCCCGGGCUUAACCUGGGAACUGCAUUUGAAACUGGUCAACUAGAGUAUGGUAGAGGAAAGUGGAAUUUCUGGUGUAGCGGUGAAAUGCGUAGAUAUCAGAAGGAACAUCAAUGGCGAAGGCAGCUUUCUGGACCAAUACUGACGCUGAGGUACGAAAGCGUGGGUAGCAAACAGGAUUAGAUACCCUGGUAGUCCACGCCGUAAACGAUGAUAACUAGCCGUUGGGGGGAUUUACCCUUUAGUGGCGAAGCUAACGCGUUAAGUUAUCCGCCUGGGGAGUACGGCCGCAAGGUUAAAACUCAAAGGAAUUGACGGGGACCCGCACAAGCGGUGGAGCAUGUGGUUUAAUUCGAUGCAACGCGAAGAACCUUACCUGGUCUUGACAUCCUGCGAACUUUCUAGAAAUAGAUUGGUGCCUUCGGGAACGCAGUGACAGGUGCUGCAUGGCUGUCGUCAGCUCGUGUCGUGAGAUGUUGGGUUAAGUCCCGUAACGAGCGCAACCCCUAUCCUUAUUUGCCAGCACGUCAUGGUGGGAACUAUAAGGAGACUGCCGGUGAUAAACCGGAGGAAGGCGGGGACGACGUCAAGUCAUCAUGGCCCUUACGACCAGGGCUACACACGUGCUACAAUGGGAAGGACAAAGAGCCGCGAAGCCGCGAGGUGUAGCUAAUCUCAGAAAUCUUUUCGUAGUCCGGAUUGGAGUCUGCAACUCGACUCCAUGAAGUCGGAAUCGCUAGUAAUCGUAGAUCAGAAUGCUACGGUGAAUACGUUCCCGGGUCUUGUACACACCGCCCGUCAAGGG